rnacentral:rRNA from 1 species
UUAAGCGACUAAGCGUACACGGUGGAUGCCCUGGCAGUCAGAGGCGAUGAAGGACGUGCUAAUCUGCGAUAAGCGUCGGUAAGGUGAUAUGAACCGUUAUAACCGGCGAUUUCCGAAUGGGGAAACCCAGUGUGUUUCGACACACUAUCAUUAACUGAAUCCAUAGGUUAAUGAGGCGAACCGGGGGAACUGAAACAUCUAAGUACCCCGAGGAAAAGAAAUCAACCGAGAUUCCCCCAGUAGCGGCGAGCGAACGGGGAGCAGCCCAGAGCCUGAAUCAGUGUGUGUGUUAGUGGAAGCGUCUGGAAAGGCGCGCGAUACAGGGUGACAGCCCCGUACACAAAAAUGCACAUGCUGUGAGCUCGAUGAGUAGGGCGGGACACGUGGUAUCCUGUCUGAAUAUGGGGGGACCAUCCUCCAAGGCUAAAUACUCCUGACUGACCGAUAGUGAACCAGUACCGUGAGGGAAAGGCGAAAAGAACCCCGGCGAGGGGAGUGAAAAAGAACCUGAAACCGUGUACGUACAAGCAGUGGGAGCACGCUUAGGCGUGUGACUGCGUACCUUUUGUAUAAUGGGUCAGCGACUUAUAUUCUGUAGCAAGGUUAACCGAAUAGGGGAGCCGAAGGGAAACCGAGUCUUAACUGGGCGUUAAGUUGCAGGGUAUAGACCCGAAACCCGGUGAUCUAGCCAUGGGCAGGUUGAAGGUUGGGUAACACUAACUGGAGGACCGAACCGACUAAUGUUGAAAAAUUAGCGGAUGACUUGUGGCUGGGGGUGAAAGGCCAAUCAAACCGGGAGAUAGCUGGUUCUCCCCGAAAGCUAUUUAGGUAGCGCCUCGUGAAUUCAUCUCCGGGGGUAGAGCACUGUUUCGGCAAGGGGGUCAUCCCGACUUACCAACCCGAUGCAAACUGCGAAUACCGGAGAAUGUUAUCACGGGAGACACACGGCGGGUGCUAACGUCCGUCGUGAAGAGGGAAACAACCCAGACCGCCAGCUAAGGUCCCAAAGUCAUGGUUAAGUGGGAAACGAUGUGGGAAGGCCCAGACAGCCAGGAUGUUGGCUUAGAAGCAGCCAUCAUUUAAAGAAAGCGUAAUAGCUCACUGGUCGAGUCGGCCUGCGCGGAAGAUGUAACGGGGCUAAACCAUGCACCGAAGCUGCGGCAGCGACGCUUAUGCGUUGUUGGGUAGGGGAGCGUUCUGUAAGCCUGUGAAGGUGUGCUGUGAGGCAUGCUGGAGGUAUCAGAAGUGCGAAUGCUGACAUAAGUAACGAUAAAGCGGGUGAAAAGCCCGCUCGCCGGAAGACCAAGGGUUCCUGUCCAACGUUAAUCGGGGCAGGGUGAGUCGACCCCUAAGGCGAGGCCGAAAGGCGUAGUCGAUGGGAAACAGGUUAAUAUUCCUGUACUUGGUGUUACUGCGAAGGGGGGACGGAGAAGGCUAUGUUGGCCGGGCGACGGUUGUCCCGGUUUAAGCGUGUAGGCUGGUUUUCCAGGCAAAUCCGGAAAAUCAAGGCUGAGGCGUGAUGACGAGGCACUACGGUGCUGAAGCAACAAAUGCCCUGCUUCCAGGAAAAGCCUCUAAGCAUCAGGUAACAUCAAAUCGUACCCCAAACCGACACAGGUGGUCAGGUAGAGAAUACCAAGGCGCUUGAGAGAACUCGGGUGAAGGAACUAGGCAAAAUGGUGCCGUAACUUCGGGAGAAGGCACGCUGAUAUGUAGGUGAAGUCCCUCGCGGAUGGAGCUGAAAUCAGUCGAAGAUACCAGCUGGCUGCAACUGUUUAUUAAAAACACAGCACUGUGCAAACACGAAAGUGGACGUAUACGGUGUGACGCCUGCCCGGUGCCGGAAGGUUAAUUGAUGGGGUUAGCCGCAAGGCGAAGCUCUUGAUCGAAGCCCCGGUAAACGGCGGCCGUAACUAUAACGGUCCUAAGGUAGCGAAAUUCCUUGUCGGGUAAGUUCCGACCUGCACGAAUGGCGUAAUGAUGGCCAGGCUGUCUCCACCCGAGACUCAGUGAAAUUGAACUCGCUGUGAAGAUGCAGUGUACCCGCGGCAAGACGGAAAGACCCCGUGAACCUUUACUAUAGCUUGACACUGAACAUUGAGCCUUGAUGUGUAGGAUAGGUGGGAGGCUUAGAAGUGUGGACGCCAGUCUGCAUGGAGCCGACCUUGAAAUACCACCCUUUAAUGUUUGAUGUUCUAACGUUGACCCGUAAUCCGGGUUGCGGACAGUGUCUGGUGGGUAGUUUGACUGGGGCGGUCUCCUCCUAAAGAGUAACGGAGGAGCACGAAGGUUGGCUAAUCCUGGUCGGACAUCAGGAGGUUAGUGCAAUGGCAUAAGCCAGCUUGACUGCGAGCGUGACGGCGCGAGCAGGUGCGAAAGCAGGUCAUAGUGAUCCGGUGGUUCUGAAUGGAAGGGCCAUCGCUCAACGGAUAAAAGGUACUCCGGGGAUAACAGGCUGAUACCGCCCAAGAGUUCAUAUCGACGGCGGUGUUUGGCACCUCGAUGUCGGCUCAUCACAUCCUGGGGCUGAAGUAGGUCCCAAGGGUAUGGCUGUUCGCCAUUUAAAGUGGUACGCGAGCUGGGUUUAGAACGUCGUGAGACAGUUCGGUCCCUAUCUGCCGUGGGCGCUGGAGAACUGAGGGGGGCUGCUCCUAGUACGAGAGGACCGGAGUGGACGCAUCACUGGUGUUCGGGUUGUCAUGCCAAUGGCACUGCCCGGUAGCUAAAUGCGGAAGAGAUAAGUGCUGAAAGCAUCUAAGCACGAAACUUGCCCCGAGAUGAGUUCUCCCUGACUCCUUGAGAGUCCUGAAGGAACGUUGAAGACGACGACGUUGAUAGGCCGGGUGUGUAAGCGCAGCGAUGCGUUGAGCUAACCGGUACUAAUGAACCGUGAGGCUUAACCU